CGAAGGGGGCUAGCGUUGUUCGGAAUUACUGGGCGUAAAGGGCGCGUAGGCGGUCCUGAUCGUCGGAUGUGAAAGGCCUGGGCUCAACCUGGGAACUGCAUCCGAUACGGCGGGACUGGAGUGUGGGAGAGGUUGGUGGAAUUCCCAGUGUAGAGGUGAAAUUCGUAGAUAUUGGGAAGAACACCGGUGGCGAAGGCGGCCAACUGGACCACAACUGACGCUGAGGCGCGAAAGCGUGGGGAGCAAACAGGAUUAGAUACCCUGGUAGUCCACGCUGUAAACGAUGCGUGCUAGACGUUGGGAGACCUAGUCUCUCGGUGUCGACGCUAACGCUUUAAGCACGCCGCCUGGGGAGUACGGCCGCAAGGUUA
rnacentral:rRNA from 1 species